AGAGGGAACAGCCCAAGUUUGAAAGCUGGCACCUUCGGUGUCCGCAUUGUAAACUCGAGAAGCGUUAUCCGCGCCGGACCAGGCUUUAAAUCCUUUGGAAUAAGGUACCUUAGAGGGUGAUAGUCCCUUUCAUAGUCUGGAACCACCGGGGCUUUGUGAUGCGCUCUCCAAGAGUCGAGUUGUUUGGGAAUGCAGCUCAAAAUGGGUGGUAAAUGCCAUCUAAGGCUAAAUAUAGAGGAGAGACCGAUAGCGAACAAGUACCGUGAGGGAAAGAUGAAAAGAACUUUGGAAAGAGAGUUAAACAGUACGUGAAAUUGCCGGAAGGGAAGGGUAGGAAGUCAGAUAUGUCUUGGCGGAUUCAGCUUGACCUUUCGAGGUUGGGUGUAUUUCCGUCACGGACAGGCCAGCAUCGAUUUUGGCUGCCGGAUAUUGGUAAGGGGAAUGUGGCAUCCUUUUCGGAGGGUGUGUUAUAGCCUCUUACUUGGUACGGCGGCCGGGAUCGAGGAACGCAGUGCACCCGUAAGGGCGGGCCUUAGGGCACCUUUGCACAUAGGAUGUUGGCUUAAUGGCUUUCUGCCACCCGUCUUGAAACACGGACCAAGGAGUCUAACAUGUAUGCGAGUCUUUGGGCGUGAAAACCCAUGGGCGAAAUGAAAGUGACCUUUAAGGUGGGACUCUUCGGAUGCACCAUCGACCGAUCUCGAUUUUUUAUAAUGACGGAUUUGAGUAAGAGCAUAUAUGUUGGGACCCGAAAGAUGGUGAACUAUGCCUGAAUAGGGUGAAGCCAGGGGAAACUCUGGUGGAAGCUCGUAGCGGUUCUGACGUGCAAAUCGAUCGUAAAAUUUGGGUAUAGGGGCGAAAGACUAAUCGAACCAUUAAACUGAAAUAAUGGGGUUGGGAUCCGGGGGAUCAUUAUACUGAUGAUCGCCUGUGUAUCGCACUCUAUAAAUACUAGGUGGUUAAGAGGCUACUAAAAGGGUAGGCCUAGUGGGCGUUGAGGCUUGCGACACUGUCAAAUUGCGGGGACAGCCUUAGAGCUUUGACUACCGCGGCCGGCCGAAAGGUUUGGUGCAGCACCAGGGUAAUGACCUCGGGGAUGGUAACAACGUCAAAGAUUGGCCAAUCCGCAGCCAAGUCCUAAGGAUUUUUUAUUCUUUACUAAAUCUACGGAUGCAGUUCACAGACUAGAUGUCAGUGGGUUCCUAUUGAUUACUUAAUAGGGGCUUAAGAUAUAGUCGGACCCCCCGCGAAAGCGGGCUCUUUGGAUAAAGCUUGGAAAUCCCUCAACUUUAGAUUUCCUUGCCCGAGCCUAGA
rnacentral:rRNA from 1 species